rnacentral:rRNA from 1 species
UACGGGGGAGCAAGCGUUGUUCGGAUUACUGGGCGUAAAGGGCGCGUAGGCGGCCAGCGCAAGUCAGUUGUGAAAUCUCCGGGCUUAACUCGGAACGGUCAACUGAUACUGCGCGGCUAGAGUGCAGAAGGGGCAACUGGAAUUCUCGGUGUAGCGGUGAAAUGCGUAGAUAUCGAGAGGAACACCUGCGGCGAAGGCGGGUUGCUGGGCUGACACUGACGCUGAUGUGCGAAAGCUAGGGGAGCGAACGGG